GGGGCUUCUCUGCAUGGCCCUGCAUGGCAUAUCAUGCUUUUUGUUUCCUGUUUCUAAGGAGCUGACAAUGUGAAGGACCCCACACAGUGUGACUGCGAAUCUCAGGGCUUUCUAUGAAAGAAGGAAAACGAAGUCAACUACAAAAACCCAGUAUGUUCUCAAACUUCAUCUGGACUGCAGCAUCCGGAUCAAUAAAUUAUAAAAAACAGUCCUACCACUAAUUAGCUAUAUGACAUUAGGAGAUGCUCAACUGAAAAUUGCUUGGACCAAUGAUCUAAUCAAAGAUGUGAACCAGCCAAAUGCAGCAGGCUCAUCACCCAACCGUUAUACAAUUCUUGUGGAAACACAGCCUGAAACACCGUAUUAAUUCCAGAAGAAUGUUUGAGCUGCACAGGUAAACCAUCCAUUCAUUAUAAGGCCCUUUAAUGCAGAAAGAACAAACUUAAAUGUCAACAAAAAAUGGAAAGCAUUGCAAGGAAUGCCGAAGAUUGAAGCAAGCCCUAAAGCAAAAGAGAGGCCACAGAAUUGAUGAGGAGUGUGGACGGCUGGAAAGUGCACCUUCCUGGUGUCCAAAUGGUACAGACCCACGUAGCUUCCAUGACCUGUUGCCAAGUGGAAAUGUGGGCUCUGCACUGACAAAUCAUUGACAAGAAAUCCAGAAUUUUUGUAGUUUCUCAGUGCUGACCACCAACUAUGUUGGUAACUUUUGUCUUUGCUGUUAUUUUUAACACCCUGAUGGCCAUUAUUUUGUGUUCAAUAAUGUAAGACUAGUAACACCAGAAACAUGGGAGGGGAUGAGAAAGAGGAUGUUUACUAGAUAUGGAAGCACAGAAUCCUAAAGACUUGUUUUGACCAAAACAGGUACCUCCAACUGAGGGACAGUCACUCUCAGGGAACAUCACAGGGAAGGAGUGAGUAGAAUAAUAACCCUGACAUCACUGCCCUUUCUCCCUCCAUCCCCUGGACCUCCAGCCAGAACUCCCCAUUAGCCAAGCCCAAAGAUAAGCCAGAGAUGGAGGGGGCCCAUUGAUGUGGUCACACAGGUCAGCCCGCUGGGCAGAGAGCAAAGUGAGUAAGAGAAUCCUCAUGUAGAGAGGAUAUGCAGGCCAAGAGAGGAUAUUUGGCACAAAUCCUAAAUUACUAUUCAUAAGGUAUUAAAGCCAGAGUUUAUCUCAAGAGUGCUCUGUACCUUUCAGUUAGCCCACAUUUUUUCAUUCCAUCCAGGACAUUUGUAACCAAAUACAAUCAUCUGCCGAAGUGUAACCAAAGAUAAACUAAUGUAUGACUUUGUAGCACCACAAUCUAACAGGCUGUUAAACAGCAUGAUCGAAUUAGAGGUCCUGAAAAUGGCAUAACUAAUGGCACUGUCUUGGAAAAAAAAAAAAUAGUGCUAAUGCAGAGGUUCAUGAAAUGUGUAUGAACCGUAUAACAUAUUCAUGCCCUAUUACUGAGAAUUUCAAAGUGUCUCACUGCUCGAGAUAAUAGGCCUCGAUUCAAUUCAGUCUGAUGUGGCAUGAAUUUCAUGCGCUAAUUAGUAAAGCAUUUCUUAAUGAUUAAGGGGGAAAAAUCAGAUAACGUUUGAUUGGAAACACAACUGUCAGAGAUAAAACAUAGCUACAACUAAGGUUAGAAGGAAUGCCAUACAUUUUGAAUUCAGGUGUCUUAAUUAUGACAAUUAAUGAUUGUAUUCUCUCUAUAAAUGAAUUCAACCAACAUGGUAAGCAUAUGGUAAUUAAAGUGCUUUUGUAGUGCAAGAAAUUUAAACAAAUGACAUCAAUAAUAAUCGUGUCCUUUCUUGCAUUUUAAGUUUAGUUUCCUAUCAAAUCUGUUUUCUCCGUCAGUCAUUUAUGAGUUUUAUAUACUGUUAGUACUAUAAUAACAAGUAUACUUCCAGGAGUUGAUAUCUGUUAACAUUGGAUUUCUGGCAAGAAUGUAAAUUAUUUCCCAUUCAUUGAAGUUAUAGAUAGUGAAUCCUGCUUUCUAUCAGUGCUAUGGAAGUUUGUUAAAAAUAGCGUCGGAUUAUCAGACUACAGUGCCUAGAGUUAAUAAAAAAUAGACCAUUGACCCAGUAGAUAUAGGUUAAUAUGGAUAGCAUUACAUAAGGAUAACUACAUAAAAUUUGAUAGGUCAUUUAAAUUCUGAAUACUCUGAGUGUAAUCUAAUCACAGGAGAUGGUUUUAAAGGCUCACAUUGUUAUUGAAAGCUUUUUCACGCUGACACAUUAUUGAUCCAGACUUCAUCACCUCUUGCCUGGCCUGCUGCAAUAACUGCCCUGCCUCCAUGACCUCACAACUCCAUUCCUACACACAGUUACCUAAGACUUUUUCCUCACUUCAGUAGAUACUAAAGAGCCUCCAUGAUAAGACGCCAACCUCUUUUCCAGCCUCAUCUUCCACUUUUCUUCUGUUCGUGCCUUACUCUUCUGGUCAAUUCACUUGGUCAUCUGUAAGUCUUUCACUCUUCUGCCACCUUGGAAGUCCCUUCCUCCUCCACCUGAUUUGCCCCCAUCCUCUGGAAAGAUGGUUGCAGACCUUCAGAAAGACCGUUCAGAAAUAUCUCUCUGGAAUCGAGAUAUCUCUGAUUUGAGUAGCACAGUAAACAUAUUCACACUUUGCUUCCACACAAGACUAUGAUACUUGAGUAUAGGUGUCCUUUUCUCUCCUCAAUGCUUGGAACAUGUUUUGACAUAAAAUAGAUGUUCAAACAAUAUCCUCAGCAGUAAGAUGGGUCAAUCAAUUGCCUAUAACUUGAUAAAACAAGAAAAGCACCUUUAAGGAAUUGUAUUAUUCACUAGUCAAGAAUACAUGCUGAGGUUUAUUCGUUUAUAUUUAGAACAGUAUGAAACUCAUUGCAUAUUGCUCCCAUGUGUUGUUGGACAACCAUCAACUACUAAUCCACUAAGAAGAGAAGAGAAUUAAUUGCUAUGGGAGGGGGAGGGGAGAGCAGGUGACAAGGUGAUGAUGAUAAAGAGAUUAUGCCCCCAAGCCCCAAAACAAAUUUAUCUGUAAAAACAAAGAAAAAGUCUCGCUCACAAACAGUCUGUCUGAAACAAGAAAAACGGAAAGACUAAAAUUUUAUUUGUUUGCUCUUUUGCAAAGAGAUCCAUUCUUGAUUCUGGGUGGCCCAAAAACAGUCAUAGAGAAAUAGAAGCUGGUCAAAGGAAUGGAGAGACUGUUCCAAAGCCGAAGAGAAAGGAUGCUGUGACCCUAUUUCCUGAUGCAGAGCUAAAAUUUAAGUAACCACAUAAUCAAAUGAACAUAUCCCUCAGUUCAAAGUGUAAAUUCAUUCAUUCUUCAACAGAACUUUUGUUGAUUAUCUAAAACCCUGAGUUGAAGAAAGUGUUUCUCUCCUGAAAAUGUAUCAGGCAAAUAACCAAUCAGGGUGGAUCCCAAUGUACAGUGAGAGCCAAAGUUCCAGUAUAUUCUAUGUGUGAAAAAUGGACUCACGUAGAUAUUCAAGUAGCCAUAAGGGGUAGAACUGCAAUUUCUCCAUUUUCUUUCUAUUCCACAGUAAAUGUUAUCUAUUAUUAGAAUGUUUUCAUAUGCAAACCACACUAGUCUGUUACUUCAGUCAGGCUGGCCUAAGCCACUACUAAAUCCAUAAUUCCUAAGUCUUGACGUUCAGUAACUAUACUUGUUUUUAGCAUGUUUCACGUGCCUUUACCAUAAUCUUGUACGAGAGAAUAGUAUUUCUAACUCGAUUUCGGAAAACCAGUAUAGUGUGCACAAACAGUAACUUACAGAAUAGCCCACUUACUCACUUUCAAUACAAAGUCUACAGAGAGUCAAUACUGAUCACUAUCCUUAUAUGGCAUGAUGAUUCUCACUGGGAGAGCAGUAAUGGAGACAGGGGGUAGUUGCGAUUUAUCUUUCAACUGUUCCAGUAAAAUACCUGUUUAUUUAAAUCUACUUCUUUCUUGUCAUUCUGUCUGAAUGCAGUACAAUUUAACCAUAGUAGCAAUAAGUUCCGGAUUUUUGCCACAAAAAUUUCAUUUUAUACUAUAUUAUUCAUUAAAUGAAUAACUUUAAGGUGACAGACAUUUCUUCUAUUUGUAAGACUUUUCAUAAAGCUCAAUCUACAAAGCAGAAAUGGGCCAUCAGAUGCACGUUGGAAUAUAUGGCUACUGUUACCGUUACAUAACUUUAAUACAAUGGAAGACAUGUCUGUGAGCACGCAGAACCCAGAACCUUUUAGCAAAGAUGCUUCCAAUUCAGAAGCAAAAACAAAUGCUGAUUUGUACCGUGUAGCAUUGAGGCCAGAGCUAAUGCAGCUCA